CUGAGCUCUCCACAUACGAGUCUCUGCUGUUACUGCAGCUGAAGUGAGGUGGCGCUUGAGUCAAUGCAGACGAGAAGCAGAAACACGGGCAGAAAAGCAGGAGGUGGAGCGAACGAGAGAGUAAUCGAGUCAAAGACAGAACCAUGGGAGCCAGACGGACCUCUAUACACUCACACCCACACUAAUAUAUGGACACAUAUUAAGGAAAAGCAUGCAAGUAACUUUAGCUCCAUGAAGUUAACAAGGUUAUGGCCCAUAACUGUAGACCUUUCAGGGUCGUAGGACUGCCGGUGGUAAAGCUGAAAGGUCAAAGGCACACUCUUCAGAUGGAGAAAUGAACAGAAGCAGAUGUGUCGAUAUGAGAUCAGUCAAUGGAAACAGAGCCAAGCGGAGAUGAGAAGAGAGCCAGAAGCACACUUAGCUGUUCAGCGGUUGCAGAGGCAGAAGAGCUUUGGCGUUGGUUUGGCCUGCAGGACUUGAUGAUUCGAGCAGUCUCUGAAAUCUCCGUAUGUAUGUAUGCAUGCCAAGCAUAAGGCAGACAGAGCUGCUUCAGUCUUGCCACUUUUGACUUGAAGCAGUUCUGAGAUUGAAUCCAGAUUGUUCACAGAAGUUGAGUCAUUGGUCCGAUUCCCCUUUUGCAUUGUGUAACUAAACCGCUGAAUGGCGUGAGAUCUCUGAAACAAUGAUUCAAAGUCUGUCAGGUCAGGAUGUCUACAGGAAAUUUGAAUGUGUGGUUUUCACAUGUCUAAUUUAUGGCUCGCUGA